CUCUCUUCCCUCAUCUACCCAUUUCUCAUCUCUGGAUGUAAACGCAGCUACUGAAACUUUAUGCUCUACCUUAACUUCUUGUCUAGAGGACAUUUGUCCUCUCUCCUCUAGGUCAGCACGGACUGCCCCUUCUAACCCCUGGUUAUCUGAUGUUCUUCGUGAACAUCGGACUAAACUCAGAGCGGCAGAGAGAAAAUGGCACAAAUCAAACAACCCGUCGGACCUGAAACAACAAACUGGACGCUAAACAGUCAGGUUUCAGGAGUGGCCAUUCAACUGAGACUGCACUUCUCUCGGUCACUGAAGCCCUGCGAAUUGCAAAAGCCCAUUCCAAAUCAUCAGUCCUCAUUCUGCUGGAUCUAUCUGCCGCGUUUGACACUGUCAAUCAUCAGAUACUCCUCUCCACCCUCUCAUCACUGGGCAUCGCUGGAAUUCCACUUCGCUGGUUUGAAUCCUAUCUCACUGAUGAUCCAACGGUAGCUGCAAGGAUCUCAGGUUGCCUGGCGGACAUCUCGGCAUGGAUGAAAGAACAUCACCUCCAGCUCAACCUGGCAAAGACUGAGCUUCUUGUCUUUCCUGCCGCUCCAACUCUACAGCAUGACAUCACAAUCCAGUUAGGUUCAUCAACAAUUACCCCAUCAACUUCGGUCAGAAAUCUUGGUGUAAUCUUUGAUGACCAGCUGACCUUCAAAGACCACAUUGCAAAGACUGCUCGAUCUUGCAGGUUUGCACUACACAACAUCAGAAAGAUCAGGCCCUUUCUGACGGAGCAUGCUGCACAACUUCUUGUCCAGGCCCUUGUCAUUUCUAGGCUGGACUACUGCAAUGCUCUUCUGGCUGGACUUCCAUCAAACACAGUCAAACCUCUACAAAUGAU